rnacentral:rRNA from 1 species
UGGGCGUAAAGCGCGUGUAGGCGGUUUUUUAAGUCUGAUGUGAAAGCCCUGGGCUCAACCCGGGAAGUGCAUUGGAUACUGGAAGACUUGAAUACGGGAGAGGGCAGUGGAAUUCCUAGUGUAGAAGUGAAAUCCGUAGAUAUUAGGAGGAACACCGGUGGCGAAGGCGGCUACCUGGACCGAUAUUGACGCUGAGACGCGAAAGCGUGGGUAGCAAACAGGAUUAGAUACCCUGGUAGUCCACGCCGUAAACGAUGAGAACUAGGUGUUGCGGG